AUUCUGCCAGUAGUCAUAUGCUUGUCUCAAAGAUUAAGCCAUGCAUGUCUAAGUAUAAGCAAUUAUACCGUGAAACUGCGAAUGGCUCAUUAAAUCAGUUAUCGUUUAUUUGAUAAUACCUUACUACUUGGAUAACCGUGGUAAUUCUAGAGCUAAUACAUGCUGAAAAUCCCGACUUCGGAAGGGAUGUGUUUAUUAGAUAAAAAACCAAUGCCCUUCGGGGCUCCUUGGUGAUUCAUAAUAACUUUACGGAUCGCAUAGCCUUGCGCUGGCGACGGUUCAUUCAAAUUUCUGCCCUAUCAACUUUCGAUGGUAAGGUAUUGGCUUACCAUGGUUUCAACGGGUAACGGGGAAUUAGGGUUCGAUUCCGGAGAGGGAGCCUGAGAAACGGCUACCACAUCCAAGGAAGGCAGCAGGCGCGCAAAUUACCCAAUCCCGAUUCGGGGAGGUAGUGACAAUAAAUACUGAUACAGGGCUCUUUUGGGUCUUGUAAUUGGAAUGAGUACAAUUUAAACCUCUUAACGAGGAACAAUUGGAGGGCAAGUCUGGUGCCAGCAGCCGCGGUAAUUCCAGCUCCAAUAGCGUAUAUUAAAGUUGUUGCAGUUAAAAAGCUCGUAGUUGAAACUUGGGUCUGGCUGGCGGGUCCGCCUCACCGCGUGCACUCGUCCGGCCGGGCCUUCCUUCUGAAGAACCUCAUGCCCUUUACUGGGCGUGUUGGGGAAUCAGGACUUUUACUUUGAAAAAAUUAGAGUGUUCAAAGCAGGCCUUUGCUCGAAUACGUUAGCAUGGAAUAAUAAAAUAGGGCGUGCGUUUCUAUUUUGUUGGUUUCUAGAGACGCCGCAAUGAUUAACAGGAACAGUCGGGGGCAUCAGUAUUCAGUUGUCAGAGGUGAAAUUCUUGGAUUUACUGAAGACUAACUACUGCGAAAGCAUUUGCCAAGGAUGUUUUCAUUAAUCAGUGAACGAAAGUUAGGGGAUCGAAGACGAUCAGAUACCGUCGUAGUCUUAACCGUAAACUAUGCCGACUAGGGAUCGGGCGAUGUUCUUUUUCUGACUCGCUCGGCACCUUACGAGAAAUCAAAGUUUUUGGGUUCUGGGGGGAUUAUGGUCGCAAGGCUGAAACUUAAAGAAAUUGACGGAAGGUCACCACCAGGCGUGGAGCCUGCGGCUUAAUUUGACUCAACACGGGGAAACUCACCAGGUUCAGAUGAAAUAAGGAUUGACAGAUUGAGAGCUCUUUCUUGAUUUUUCAGGUGGUGGUGCAUGGCCGUUCUUAGUUCGUGGGGUGACUUGUCUGCUUAAUUGCGAUAACGAGCGAGACCUUACUCUGCUAAAUAGCCAGGCUAGCUUUGGCUGGUCGCCGGCUUCUUAGAGAGACUAUCAACUCAAGUUGAUGGAAGUUUGAGGCAAUAACAGGUCUGUGAUGCCCUUAGAUAUUCUGGGCCGCACGCGCGCUACACUGACAGAGCCAACGAGUUCUUUCCCUUGGCCGAAAGGUCUGGGUAAUCUUGUUAAACUCUGUCGUGCUGGGGAUAAAGCAUUGCAAUUAUUGCUUUUCAACGAGGAAUGCCUAGUAAGCGCGUGUCAUCAGCAUGCGUUGAUUACGUCCCUGACCUUUGUACACACCGCCCGUCGCUACUACCGAUUGAAUGGCUCAGUGAGGCCUUCGGACUGGCUCGGGGAGGUUGGCAACGACCACCCCAAGCCGGAAAGUUGGUCAAACUCGGUCAUUUAGAGGAAGUAAAAGUCGUAACAAGGUCUCCGUAGGUGAACCUGCGGAGG
rnacentral:rRNA from 1 species